GAUCUGUUGAGGUCCCUUCCCACCCUAGCAUCUGUGAAUCUGUGAAUCCGUGCUUAAAGUAUACCAUUUUGUCAGCCUUCAGACCUAGGAGACUUCACAUUUUGUCAUGAGAGCACGCUACCAACAUCCAAGGUGGUUAGCACGUGGGCACUGCUUUAUAGUUAUUUUUUUUAAUGUUUGCAUGAACUGAUCUCCCCAAGCUCACAAAAUGACUUUUUAGUCUUCUACUUCACCUCCCUUUCCCAAACAAGGCCACGGAGCCACUAUAACAAAUGUAUCUUGUGUUUCACUCUUAGUGACAAAAGGGAUUUAUCUAAUCUUCUUAUGCCACUGCUUCUGUCCCUGGAGUAGCACACCAAGAGAGCAUCGAAUCACCAACUAUGGGACUGGAAGAGACGUCGGGGCCGUCUAGUCACCCCCUGCUCAAGGCAGGAGCACGCCCUACAAACCCGUCCAGCCAAGGAUCAACUCUGCUCUUAUGCAUUGGCAAGCAUGGAGAUUGCACAACUCUCCGGGUAGCCCAUUUCCGUGUUCCAAAAAACCUUAAAAAAAUCACCCUCAUAUAGAGCGAAAGGUCUUAUAUCGAACCAAAAUAUCCCCUGCUGCAAUUCUUCAUUUACUCUGAGUCUGUUGCUGUGGCUGAAGAAAACAGGACACGUCUCCAUCCUGUCCAUUGCCACCUCUCAGGGAUUUGAAGACAUCGAGCUCUCGAGGACUAAUCUCACAACACAGUCGUUCAACCAAGAUACGUCCAUCUUGCAGUCCGUUCAUCUCAAGCGAAAGAGAUAGCGCCAUUAUCGUUAAGGAAGCAGGCAGGAAAGGUAAAAUGAGGAUGGCAGAGAAGGAGCAUUACCUCAAGGCGCAGUAAGCACAUGAUAUCCAUGAAAGAGCCUCUUCAGCCGCAGCUCUGGUGAAAGGGCUGUUUGACCAAAGGCAGAAGAGGGAGAUCCAGGGCACGGAUCUGGUUAAACAUUUCGCCCUCCAGAAAGGGAAAGGGCUUGAAGGGAAACUGAGGGAAGUUACCCAUGAAAGCGGUGCAAUGCUGAGAGACUGGGAGGAUCCACACCGUCAAAGGGCCGACAGUAGGCAGCAAGUAAUACAGUGUAUUUCCCCCAGCUCAGAGCUGGGAGCCAGCGGGAGCCCCCCGGCCUACAGAAAUAGAGGUCACGUCACCGCAGGGAACACGUGUGAGAUAGACCUGGGCCGUAUGUUCUUGUGCACACACAAUAAAUGGUGUUCGUUAGGAGCUGUUGUUGGAGUCCCUUUCCUCAUCCGCUGUCACAGUGCCCUGGAGGGAAACCCUUGCAGGGUCCAGUCCUGGUUGGAGUCCCUCCUUGUGAGUACCAUCAGGUCGUGUGCAAGCCAAGCCCUGUCUCACACCCGGUGGCUGAUGCAGCGGUGCGGCCGGACACAGCCGAGACGUGCAGGUGGGCAGACCCGGAGAACGUGACACGCAUCACAAUGGCCCCUUCUAGAACCGGCUCGUCGCCGUGCGGCUCUUGGAGACGCACACAGCAGGUCAACUGCUCCCGACCCGACACUGGUUGUUGUCAGGUCACACCCGUGUCCUUGCGAUCACCCUGACCGCAAGGCUACAGAAAACUGGAUAGCUUCUUAUCCCAGGAUACAACCAUGGGAUCCUUUGGAGACACAGGAAGGGAAGGAGAAGAUGCUAUUCAGGCUAACUUUGCCCUGGUUGAACACUGAGGAAAAGGGCUGAGGGCUCAACCCAACAAGAACAGUUUUUCUGUUGGCUUUUUUGGUACUUGAAGUGACCCCUAAAUUCUGCUUCCAGUUUCAUUGGUUGCCGUCCAUUGACUCUGGGGGAUUUACAUAAGCAAAACCUGAUUAUUAAAGUGUUUUGUGUUGGA